rnacentral:rRNA from 1 species
GUACGUAGGGGGCGAGCGUUGUCCGGAAUGAUUGGGCGUAAAGGGCGCGUAGGCGGCGCGGUAAGUCUGGAGUGAAAGUCCUGCUUUCAAGGUGGGAAUUGCUUUGGAUACUGCCGCGCUUGAGUGCAGGAGAGGUUAUCGGAAUUCCCGGUGUAGCGGUGAAAUGCGUAGAGAUCGGGAGGAACACCAGUGGCGAAGGCGGGUAACUGGACUGCAACUGACGCUGAGGCGCGAAAGUGUGGGGAGCAAACAGGAUUAGAUACCCUGGUAGUCCACACUGUAAACGAUGAAUGCUAGGUGUAAGAGGUAUCGACCCCUUUUGUGCCGGAGUCAACACAAUAAGCAUUCCGCCUGGGGAGUACGGCCGCAAGGUUGAAACUCAAAUGAAUUGGCGGGG